rnacentral:rRNA from 1 species
AGCGAGAGGUGCUUGCACCUUUCAAGCGAGUGGCGAACGGGUGAGUAACACGUGGAUAACCUGCCUCAAGGCUGGGGAUAACAUUUGGAAACAGAUGCUAAUACCGAAUAAAACUUAGUAUCGCAUGAUAUCAAGUUAAAAGGCGCUACGGCGUCACCUAGAGAUGGAUCCGCGGUGCAUUAGUUAGUUGGUGGGGUAAAGGCUUACCAAGACGAUGAUGCAUAGCCGAGUUGAGAGACUGAUCGGCCACAUUGGGACUGAGACACGGCCCAAACUCCUACGGGAGGCUGCAGUAGGGAAUCUUCCACAAUGGGCGCAAGCCUGAUGGAGCAACGCCGCGUGUGUGAUGAAGGCUUUCGGGUCGUAAAGCACUGUUGUAUGGGAAGAAAUGCUAAAAUAGGGAAUGAUUUUAGUUUGACGGUACCAUACCAGAAAGGGACGGCUAAAUACGUGCCAGCAGCCGCGGUAAUACGUAUGUCCCGAGCGUUAUCCGGAUUUAUUGGGCGUAAAGCGAGCGCAGACGGUUGAUUAAGUCUGAUGUGAAAGCCCGGAGCUCAACUCCGGAAUGGCAUUGGAAACUGGUUAACUUGAGUGUUGUAGAGGUAAGUGGAACUCCAUGUUUU